rnacentral:rRNA from 1 species
ACACUAUCAUUAACUGAAUCCAUAGGUUAAUGAGGCGAACCGGGGGAACUGAAACAUCUAAGUACCCCGAGGAAAAGAAAUCAACCGAGAUUCCCCCAGUAGCGGCGAGCGAACGGGGAGGAGCCCAGAGCCUGAAUCAGUGUGUGUGUUAGUGGAAGCGUCUGGAAAGGCGUGCGAUACAGGGUGACAGCCCCGUACACAAAAAUGCACAUAUUGUGAGCUCGAUGAGUAGGGCGGGACACGUGGUAUCCUGUCUGAAUAUGGGGGGACCAUCCUCCAAGGCUAAAUACUCCUGACUGACCGAUAGUGAACCAGUACCGUGAGGGAAAGGCGAAAAGAACCCCGGCGAGGGGAGUGAAAAAGAACCUGAAACCGUGUACGUACAAGCAGUGGGAGCCUCUUUAUGGGGUGACUGCGUACCUUUUGUAUAAUGGGUCAGCGACUUAUAUUCUGUAGCAAGGUUAACCGAAUAGGGGAGCCGAAGGGAAACCGAGUCUUAACUGGGCGUUAAGUUGCAGGGUAUAGACCCGAAACCCGGUGAUCUAGCCAUGGGCAGGUUGAAGGUUGGGUAACACUAACUGGAGGACCGAACCGACUAAUGUUGAAAAAUUAGCGGAUGACUUGUGGCUGGGGGUGAAAGGCCAAUCAAACCGGGAGAUAGCUGGUUCUCCCCGAAAGCUAUUUAGGUAGCGCCUCGUGAAUUCAUCUCCGGGGGUAGAGCACUGUUUCGGCAAGGGGGUCAUCCCGACUUACCAACCCGAUGCAAACUGCGAAUACCGGAGAAUGUUAUCACGGGAGACACACGGCGGGUGCUAACGUCCGUCGUGAAGAGGGAAACAACCCAGACCGCCAGCUAAGGUCCCAAAGUCAUGGUUAAGUGGGAAACGAUGUGGGAAGGCCCAGACAGCCAGGAUGUUGGCUUAGAAGCAGCCAUCAUUUAAAGAAAGCGUAAUAGCUCACUGGUCGAGUCGGCCUGCGCGGAAGAUGUAACGGGGCUAAACCAUGCACCGAAGCUGCGGCAGCGACACUAUGUGUUGUUGGGUAGGGGAGCGUUCUGUAAGCCUGUGAAGGUGGCCUGUGAGGGUUGCUGGAGGUAUCAGAAGUGCGAAUGCUGACAUAAGUAACGAUAAAGCGGGUGAAAAGCCCGCUCGCCGGAAGACCAAGGGUUCCUGUCCAACGUUAAUCGGGGCAGGGUGAGUCGACCCCUAAGGCGAGGCCGAAAGGCGUAGUCGAUGGGAAACAGGUUAAUAUUCCUGUACUUGGUGUUACUGCGAAGGGGGGACGGAGAAGGCUAUGUUGGCCGGGCGACGGUUGUCCCGGUUUAAGCGUGUAGGCUGGUUUUCCAGGCAAAUCCGGAAAACCAAGGCUGAGGCGUGAUGACGAGGCACUACGGUGCUGAAGCGACAAAUGCCCUGCUUCCAGGAAAAGCCUCUAAGCAUCAGGUAACAUCAAAUCGUACCCCAAACCGACACAGGUGGUCAGGUAGAGAAUACCAAGGCGCUUGAGAGAACUCGGGUGAAGGAACUAGGCAAAAUGGUGCCGUAACUUCGGGAGAAGGCACGCUGAUAUGUAGGUGAAGCGACUUGCUCGUGGAGCUGAAAUCAGUCGAAGAUACCAGCUGGCUGCAACUGUUUAUUAAAAACACAGCACUGUGCAAACACGAAAGUGGACGUAUACGGUGUGACGCCUGCCCGGUGCCGGAAGGUUAAUUGAUGGGGUUAGCGGUAACGCGAAGCUCUUGAUCGAAGCCCCGGUAAACGGCGGCCGUAACUAUAACGGUCCUAAGGUAGCGAAAUUCCUUGUCGGGUAAGUUCCGACCUGCACGAAUGGCGUAAUGAUGGCCAGGCUGUCUCCACCCGAGACUCAGUGAAAUUGAACUCGCUGUGAAGAUGCAGUGUACCCGCGGCAAGACGGAAAGACCCCGUGAACCUUUACUAUAGCUUGACACUGAACAUUGAGCCUUGAUGUGUAGGAUAGGUGGGAGGCUUUGAAGUGUGGACGCCAGUCUGCAUGGAGCCGACCUUGAAAUACCACCCUUUAAUGUUUGAUGUUCUAACGUUGGCCCGUAAUCCGGGUUGCGGACAGUGUCUGGUGGGUAGUUUGACUGGGGCGGUCUCCUCCUAAAGAGUAACGGAGGAGCACGAAGGUUGGCUAAUCCUGGUCGGACAUCAGGAGGUUAGUGCAAUGGCAUAAGCCAGCUUGACUGCGAGCGUGACGGCGCGAGCAGGUGCGAAAGCAGGUCAUAGUGAUCCGGUGGUUCUGAAUGGAAGGGCCAUCGCUCAACGGAUAAAAGGUACUCCGGGGAUAACAGGCUGAUACCGCCCAAGAGUUCAUAUCGACGGCGGUGUUUGGCACCUCGAUGUCGGCUCAUCACAUCCUGGGGCUGAAGUAGGUCCCAAGGGUAUGGCUGUUCGCCAUUUAAAGUGGUACGCGAGCUGGGUUUAGAACGUCGUGAGACAGUUCGGUCCCUAUCUGCCGUGGGCGCUGGAGAACUGAGGGGGGCUGCUCCUAGUACGAGAGGACCGGAGUGGACGCAUCACUGGUGUUCGGGUUGUCAUGCCAAUGGCACUGCCCGGUAGCUAAAUGCGGAAGAGAUAAGUGCUGAAAGCAUCUAAGCACGAAACUUGCCCCGAGAUGAGUUCUCCCUGA